rnacentral:lncRNA from 1 species
GGGACAGCUCCUAUUCAUGCUCACUCAGGCCAGGGCCCUCCUAGACCUCAAUUUUCUUGUUGGAGAAACUUCUCUCCAAUCUCCUAGGACAGUAUUGCCUGAGGAUGGAUGGGGGAAGUUUGUUCUAAAUGACAAUUCAAGAUACCACAUCCUCCAGCAGCAUCCCAGGUUCUCUCUCUGA